rnacentral:rRNA from 1 species
CAGCAGCCACGGUAAUACGUAGGUGGCAAGCGUUGUCCGGAAUUGUUGGGCGUAAAGGGCUCGCAGGCGGUUUCUUAAGUCUGAUGUGAAAGCCCCCGGCCCAACCGGGGAGGGUCAUUGGAAACUGGGAAACUUGAGUGCAGAAGAGGAGAGUGGAAUUCCACGUGUAGCGGUGAAAUGCGUAGAGAUGUGGAGGAACACCAGUGGCGAAGGCGACUCUCUGGUCUGUAACUGACGCUGAGGAGCGAAAGCGUGGGGAGCGAACAGGAUUAGAUACCCGCGUAGUCCCUGUCUCUUAUAC